CUUAAAUGCACGCAUGACACACAUAACAGAAAGGGUAGUCAACGCUAUGACAACCAGAUAAAAAGGUCCAAGGGUAUCGCAUUUCACAGACGUAAAGUAACCUCUGCACCGUCAGCUGUGAGCUCCACCAGCUCCCACCGCCAUAGAGGUUGCUAUGGCAACGGCUCGGCGUGUAGCGUAGCGGAGACGGCGAGAAAGAAAGAAUACAGAACCAGACAACAAGAGCACAACUAACCCGUUCCAACCAGAAACCAAACUGUCUCUGGAUCCUCAAUCUGCACCGAAUGUGACGACCAGAUUCCUGCUGCAUCACGU